rnacentral:rRNA from 1 species
UACGGAGGGGGCUAGCGUUGUUCGGAAUUACUGGGCGUAAAGCGCACGUAGGCGGCCUGUCAAGUUGGGGGUGAAAGCCCGGGGCUCAACCCCGGAACUGCCUUCAAGACUGACGGGCUUGAGACCGGAAGAGGAGAGUGGAAUUCCCAGUGUAGAGGUGAAAUUCGUAGAUAUUGGGAAGAAUACCAGUGGCGAAGGCGUCUCUCUGGUCCGGUUCUGACGCUGAGGUGCGAAAGCGUGGGGAGCAAACAGG